rnacentral:rRNA from 1 species
UAACUCGGGGAGAGCCUUUCGAAAGAAAGAUUAAUAUCCNAUAGUAUAUUAANACCGCAUGGGUNUACUAUUAAAGAAUUUCGGUUAUCGAUGGGGAUGCGUUCCAUUAGUUUGUUGGCGGGGUAACGGCCCACCAAGACUACGAUGGAUAGGGGUUCUGAGAGGAAGGUCCCCCACAUUGGAACUGAGACACGGUCCAAACUCNUACGGGAGGCAGCAGUGAGGAAUAUUGGUCAAUGGACGAGAGUCUGAACCAGCCAAGUAGCGUGAAGGAUGACUGCCCUAUGGGUUGUAAACUUCUUUUAUAUGGGAAUAAAGUAUUCCCACGUGUGGGGAUUUUGUAUGUACCAUAUGAAUAAGGGAUCGGCUAAAUCCGUGCCNAGCAGCCGCGGUAAUACGGAGGAUCCGAGCGUUAUNCCGGAUUUAUUGGGUUUAAAAGGGAGCGUAGGUGGANUUGUUAAGUCAGUUGUGAAAGUUUGCGGCUCAACCGUAAAAAUUGCAGUUGAAAACUGGCAGUCUUGAGUACAGUAGAGGUGGGCGGAAUUCGUGGUGUAGCGGUGAAAUGCUUAGAUAUCACGAAGAACUCCGAUUGCGAAGGCAGCUCACUAGACUGCAACUGACACUGAUGCUCGAAAGUGUGGGUAUCAAACAGGAUUAGAUACCCUGGUAGUCCACACAGUAAACGAUGAAUACUCGCUGUUUGCGAUAUACAGUAAGCGGCCAAGCGAAAGCAUUAAGUUAUUCCACCUGGGGAGUACGCCCGGCAACGGUGAAAACUCAAAGGAAUUGACNGGGGGCCCGCACAAGCGGAGGAACAUGUGGUUUAAUUCGAUGAUACGCGAGGAACCUUACCCGGGCUUAAAUUGCAUUUGAAUAANUCUGGAAACAGGUUAGCCGCAAAGGCAAAUGUGAAGGUGCUGCAUGGUUGGNCGUCACCUCGUGCCGUGAGGUGUCGGCUUAAGUGCCAUAACGAGCCCAACCCUUAUCUUUAGUUACUAACAGGUCAUGCUGAGGACUCUAGAGAGACUGCCGUCGUAAGAUGUGAGGAAGGUGGGGAUGACGUCAAAUCAGCACGGCCCUUACGUCCGGGGCUACACACGUGUUACAAUGGGGGGUACAGAAGGCAGCUACCUGGCGACAGGAUGCUAAUCCCAAAAACCUCUCUCAGUUCGGAUCGAAGUCUGCAACCCGACUUCGUGAAGCUGGAUUCGCUAGUAAUCGCGCAUCAGCCAUGGCGCGGUGAAUACGUUCCCGGGCCUUGUACACACCGCCCGUCAAGCCAUGAAAGCCGGGGGUACCUGAAGUACGUACCGCAAGAGCUCCUAGGAAAC